CUCCAGUUGACCGCAUGGUCCUCUGGGAAAGCUUUUGCGGUAUGGGAUGGGGUCGCGUCCUAUCAGCUUGAUGGCGGGGUAACGGCCCACCAUGGCUUCGACGGGUAGCCGGCCUGAGAGGGCGACCGGCCACAUUGGGACUGAGAUACGGCCAGACUCCUACGGGAGGCAGCAGUGGGGAAUAUUGCACAAUGGGCGCAAGCCUGAUGCAGCGACGCCGCGUGCGGGAUGACGGCCUUCGGGUUGUAAACCGCUUUUGACUGGGAGCAAGCCCUUCGGGGUGAGUGUACCUUUCGAAUAAGCACCGGCUAACUACGUGCCAGCAGCCGCGGUAAUACGUAGGGUGCAAGCGUUAUCCGGAAUUAUUGGGCGUAAAGGGCUCGUAGGCGGUUCGUCGCGUCCGGUGUGAAAGUCCAUCGCUUAACGGUGGAUCCGCGCCGGGUACGGGCGG
rnacentral:rRNA from 1 species